GCAGAAUUCAGUGAAUCAUCCGAAUCCUUUGAACGCACAUUGCGCCCCUGGUAUUCCGGGGGGCAUGCCUGUUCGAGCGUCAUUUCACCACUCAAGCCUCGCUUGGUAUUGGGCAACGCGGUCCGCCGCGUGCCUCAAAUCGACCGGCUGGGUCUUCUGUCCCCUAAGCGUUGUGGAAACUAUUCGCUAAAGGGUGUUCGGGAGGCUACGCCGUAAAACAACCCCAUUUCUAAGGUUGACCUCGGAUCAGGUAGGGAUACCCGCUGAACUUAAGCAUAUCAUAAGGCGGAGG
rnacentral:misc_RNA from 1 species